CUGGUUUCUCUGUCAACAUGGCCAAUGUCUACCUUUUUUCUUUUCCACUCACUCACUCCUUUUCUCUCUUUUCCUUUUUGCCCUCUGCUCCCGUCCAAGCUCUCUGUGAGGCCCCCAGAAACCAACCUGCUCUUGCUGAUCUCCUCUCUCAAGGCCUCUUCUUGUAUUCACCUCUUUUCCCUCCUGAGAUUCAAUAAACAUUUGCAGCAUC